GGCCUCGUAGCUCAGGGGAUAGAGCACCGCUCUCCUAAAGCGGGUGUCGCAGGUUCGAAUCCUGCCGGGGCCACCA
rnacentral:tRNA from 2 species